GACGGAAGGUGCAAGCGUUGCUCGGAAUUACUGGGCGUAAAGGGUUCGUAGGUGGCUUGCUAAGUCAGACGUGAAAUCCCUCAGCUUAACUGGGGAACUGCGUCUGAUACUGGCGAGCUUGAGUGCAGGAGAGGAACGCAGAAUUCCAGGUGUAGCGGUGAAAUGCGUAGAUAUCUGGAGGAAUACCGGUGGCGAAGGCGGCGUUCUGGACUGCAACUGACACUGAUGAACGAAAGCCAGGGGAGCAAACGGG
rnacentral:rRNA from 1 species